rnacentral:misc_RNA from 1 species
GGAAGUAAAAGUCGCAACAAGGUUUCCGUAGGUGAACCUGCGGAAGGAUCAUUAUUGUAUGACCGAGGUGCGAGGGCUGUCGCUGACCCGAAAGGUCGUGCACGCCCGAGUGCCCUCACACACAUCCAUCUCACCCCUAUGUGCACCACCGCGUGGGUCCCCCUUUGGCUUGUUCGGAGGGGGGCUUACGUUUUCACACAAACUUUGUAUGCAGUGUAGAAUAUAUUUUUUGUUUUUGCGAUCACGCAAUCAAUACAACUUUCAACAACGGAUCUCUUGGCUCUC